UAGAUGGUUUCACUUCGAAGCCAAGGGAUACAUUGCAUUGAUCGGAAUUAGAUUGUUUGGAUUACUUGGAACAUUGGCGCUAUGGGGGACAAACCAACGCCUGGUCCUAAGACCAACGAGCCACCACGGCAUGGUGGAUCCAGAUUCACUCUGAUACCAGCAAGAGGAAUGGUAAUGCAUGUCAUAAUCCCAUGGUUCCUUGGCAUGGUCUCUUUCUACAUCUACGAGACAUUCUGGCGCAAAUAGGAUCGAUCACCCACAGAAAAAAGAAAAUUUGGACGACCUUGGAUGAUCUGUCUUCAAUGCAGGAAUGUAUAAUUGUCACAUAGGCCCUAUUGUAGAGAUUUUUAAAGGAUGUUUUAUUGUAUUCUCUCAAAUCAAAAUAAACAUUCACAUUCCAUAAGCAAGUUGUACAAACUACUUGAAACAUGAUUAUAAAUUAUACAGUAAAUCCAUAACAAAUAUAAUUAUACAAAUUAUACAUCAAACUUCAAAGAU